rnacentral:rRNA from 1 species
ACGCUGGCGGUAUGCCUAACACAUGCAAGUCUAACGACGAAAGUCGUGACGUACGGGUGAGUAACGCGUGAGUUAUCUACACUUAGGAGAGGGAUAACAAAUGGAAACGUUUGCUAAUACCUCAUAAAGCUUUUUAGUUAAAGUUAAAGAUUUAUCGCCUAGGUAUGAGCUUGCGUCCGAUUAGCUAGUUGGUAGGGUAAAGGCUUACCAAGGCAACGAUCGGUAGUUGUUUCGAGAGAAAGGACAGCCACACUGGGACUGAGACACGGAACAGACUUCUACGGAAGGCAGCAGUGGGGAAUUUUUGGCAAUGGGUGAGAGCCUGACCAAGCAAUACCGCGUGGAGGAAGAAGGUUUUAGGAUUGUAAACUCCUUUUUUCAUUGAAGAAAAUAUGACGGUAAAUGAAGAAUAAGCAUCAGCUAAUUUCGUGCCAGCAGCUGCGGUAAUACGAGAGAUGCAAGCGUUAUCCGGAAUUAUUGGGCGUAAAGCGUUUGUAGAUGGUUUAAUAAGUUUAGUGUCAAAUCUUGAAGCUUAACUUCAAUACGGCAUUAAAAACUAUUAGUCUAGAGUGCGAUAGGGGUAAAGGGAAUUUCCAGUGUAGCGGUGAAAUGCGUAGAUAUUGGAAAGAACACCAAUGGCGAAAGCACUUUACUAGGUUGUUACUGACAUUGAGAGACGAAAGCUAGGGGAUCAAAAAGGAUUAGAUACCCUUGUAGUCCUAGCUGUAAACGAUGGAUACUAAAUGGUGCUUUUUGUACUGUUGUAGCUAACGCGUUAAGUAUCCCGCCUGGGGAGUACGCUUGCAAAAGUGAAACUCAAAGGAAUUGGCGGGGACCUGCACAAACAGUGGAGCAUGUGGUUUAAUUCGAUGGUACACGAAGAACCUUACCAGGGUUUGACAUGUCAAGAAGUUUUCUGAAAGGAAGAUGUGCCUUUAUUGGAAUUUGACACAGGUGGUGCAUGGCUGUCGUCAGCUCGUGUCGUGAGAUAUUGGGUUAAGUCCCGUAACGAGCGCAACCCUUUUUUCUAGUUGUUUUUCUAGAAAUACUGCCGGUGAUAAAUCGGAGGAAGGUGAGGAUGACGUCAAGUCAGCAUGCCCCUUAUGUCCUGGGCUACACACGUGCUACAAUGAUCAAUACAACGAGUAGCAAACUUGCAAAAGUAAGCAAAUCUCUAAAAGUUGGUCUUAGUUCGGAUUAUAGACUGCAACUCGUCUAUAUGAAGCCGGAAUUGUUAGUAAUCGCCGGUCAGCUAUACGGUGGUGAAUACGUUCUCAGGUCUUGCACACACCGCCCGUCACACCAUGGAAAUUGUCUAAACUCGAAGUAGUUUUCUUAUAGAUAAGCUACUAAGGUUGGGGUGGUAACUAGGGUGAAGUCGUAACAAGGUAG